GAAACUUAAAGGAAUUGACGGGACCGCACAAGCAGCGGAGCGUGUGGUUUAAUUCGUUGCUACACGAAGAACCUUACUGGGUUUGACAUAUAGGUUGUAGGGAACUGAAGAGGGACCGACCCUUCGGGGAGCCUAUACAGGUGUUGCAUGGCUGUCGUCAGCUCGUGUCGUGAGAUGUUCGGUUAAGUCCGCUAACGAGCGCAACCCUCGUCGUAUGUUAUAUGUGUCAUACGAGACUGCCGGUAAAAAGCCGGAGGAAGGUGAGGAUGAUGUCAAGUCAGCAUGACCUUUAUAUCCAGGGCUACACACACGCUACAAUGGUCUGUACAAUGGGUAGCCAAGCCGCGAGGCGGAGCCAAUCCUGAAAGCAGGCCUCAGUUCAGAUUGCAGUCUGCAACUCGACUGCAUGAAGCCGGAGUUGCUAGUAACCGCAGGUCAGCAAUACUGCGGUGAAUACGUUCCCGGGUCUU
rnacentral:rRNA from 1 species